rnacentral:ncRNA from 2 species
UUCCACUCGCACGGGUGCUCGUAUCAUUGCUCCUCCUUGGUACUUGCUGAGAUCACACCGUUAGAACCUGAUCAGGACAACACCUGCGUAGGAAGCGAGUAAUCAACAACA